rnacentral:rRNA from 1 species
CUACGGGGGGCUGCAGGCGAGAAAACUAUGCAAUGUGCGAAAGCACGACAAGGUUAAUCCGAGUGGUUUGUGCUAAACGAACCUUUUGACAGUCCUAGAAACACUGUUGAAUAAGGGGUGGGCAAGUUCUGGUGUCAGCCGCCGCGGUAAAACCAGCACCUCAAGUGGUCAGGAUGAUUAUUGGGCCUAAAGCAUCCGUAGCCGGCUCUGUAAGUUUUCGGUUAAAUCUGUACGCUCAACGUACAGGCUGCCGGGAAUACUGCAGAGCUAGGGAGUGGGAGAGGUAGACGGUACUCGGUAGGAAGGGGUAAAAUCCUUUGAUCUAUUGAUGACCACCUGUGGCGAAGGCGGUCUACCAGAACACGUCCGACGGUGAGGGAUGAAAGCUGGGGGAGCAAACCGGAUUAGAUACCCGUGUAGUC